rnacentral:rRNA from 1 species
UUAAGCGACUAAGCGUACACGGUGGAUGCCCUGGCAGUCAGAGGCGAUGAAGGACGUGCUAAUCUGCGAUAAGCGUCGGUAAGGUGAUAUGAACCGUUAUAACCGGCGAUUUCCGAAUGGGGAAACCCAGUGUGUUUCGACACACUAUCAUUAACUGAAUCCAUAGGUUAAUGAGGCGAACCGGGGGAACUGAAACAUCUAAGUACCCCGAGGAAAAGAAAUCAACCGAGAUUCCCCCAGUAGCGGCGAGCGAACGGGGAGCAGCCCAGAGCCUGAAUCAGUGUGUGUGUUAGUGGAAGCGUCUGGAAAGGCGCGCGAUACAGGGUGACAGCCCCGUACACAAAAAUGCACAUGCUGUGAGCUCGAUGAGUAGGGCGGGACACGUGGUAUCCUGUCUGAAUAUGGGGGGACCAUCCUCCAAGGCUAAAUACUCCUGACUGACCGAUAGUGAACCAGUACCGUGAGGGAAAGGCGAAAAGAACCCCGGCGAGGGGAGUGAAAAAGAACCUGAAACCGUGUACGUACAAGCAGUGGGAGCCUCUUUUAUGGGGUGACUGCGUACCUUUUGUAUAAUGGGUCAGCGACUUAUAUUCUGUAGCAAGGUUAACCGAAUAGGGGAGCCGAAGGGAAACCGAGUCUUAACUGGGCGUUAAGUUGCAGGGUAUAGACCCGAAACCCGGUGAUCUAGCCAUGGGCAGGUUGAAGGUUGGGUAACACUAACUGGAGGACCGAACCGACUAAUGUUGAAAAAUUAGCGGAUGACUUGUGGCUGGGGGUGAAAGGCCAAUCAAACCGGGAGAUAGCUGGUUCUCCCCGAAAGCUAUUUAGGUAGCGCCUCGUGAAUUCAUCUCCGGGGGUAGAGCACUGUUUCGGCAAGGGGGUCAUCCCGACUUACCAACCCGAUGCAAACUGCGAAUACCGGAGAAUGUUAUCACGGGAGACACACGGCGGGUGCUAACGUCCGUCGUGAAGAGGGAAACAACCCAGACCGCCAGCUAAGGUCCCAAAGUCAUGGUUAAGUGGGAAACGAUGUGGGAAGGCCCAGACAGCCAGGAUGUUGGCUUAGAAGCAGCCAUCAUUUAAAGAAAGCGUAAUAGCUCACUGGUCGAGUCGGCCUGCGCGGAAGAUGUAACGGGGCUAAACCAUGCACCGAAGCUGCGGCAGCGACACUGUGUGUUGUUGGGUAGGGGAGCGUUCUGUAAGCCUGUGAAGGUGUACUGUGAGGUAUGCUGGAGGUAUCAGAAGUGCGAAUGCUGACAUAAGUAACGAUAAAGCGGGUGAAAAGCCCGCUCGCCGGAAGACCAAGGGUUCCUGUCCAACGUUAAUCGGGGCAGGGUGAGUCGACCCCUAAGGCGAGGCCGAAAGGCGUAGUCGAUGGGAAACAGGUUAAUAUUCCUGUACUUGGUGUUACUGCGAAGGGGGGACGGAGAAGGCUAUGUUGGCCGGGCGACGGUUGUCCCGGUUUAAGCGUGUAGGCUGGUUUUCCAGGCAAAUCCGGAAAAUCAAGGCUGAGGCGUGAUGACGAGGCACUACGGUGCUGAAGCAACAAAUGCCCUGCUUCCAGGAAAAGCCUCUAAGCAUCAGGUAACAUCAAAUCGUACCCCAAACCGACACAGGUGGUCAGGUAGAGAAUACCAAGGCGCUUGAGAGAACUCGGGUGAAGGAACUAGGCAAAAUGGUGCCGUAACUUCGGGAGAAGGCACGCUGAUAUGUAGGUGAAGUCCCUCGCGGAUGGAGCUGAAAUCAGUCGAAGAUACCAGCUGGCUGCAACUGUUUAUUAAAAACACAGCACUGUGCAAACACGAAAGUGGACGUAUACGGUGUGACGCCUGCCCGGUGCCGGAAGGUUAAUUGAUGGGGUCAGCGCAAGCGAAGCUCUUGAUCGAAGCCCCGGUAAACGGCGGCCGUAACUAUAACGGUCCUAAGGUAGCGAAAUUCCUUGUCGGGUAAGUUCCGACCUGCACGAAUGGCGUAAUGAUGGCCAGGCUGUCUCCACCCGAGACUCAGUGAAAUUGAACUCACUGUGAAGAUGCAGUGUACCCGCGGCAAGACGGAAAGACCCCGUGAACCUUUACUAUAGCUUGACACUGAACAUUGAGCCUUGAUGUGUAGGAUAGGUGGGAGGCUUAGAAGUGUGGACGCCAGUCUGCAUGGAGCCGACCUUGAAAUACCACCCUUUAAUGUUUGAUGUUCUAACGUUGACCCGUAAUCCGGGUUGCGGACAGUGUCUGGUGGGUAGUUUGACUGGGGCGGUCUCCUCCUAAAGAGUAACGGAGGAGCACGAAGGUUGGCUAAUCCUGGUCGGACAUCAGGAGGUUAGUGCAAUGGCAUAAGCCAGCUUGACUGCGAGCGUGACGGCGCGAGCAGGUGCGAAAGCAGGUCAUAGUGAUCCGGUGGUUCUGAAUGGAAGGGCCAUCGCUCAACGGAUAAAAGGUACUCCGGGGAUAACAGGCUGAUACCGCCCAAGAGUUCAUAUCGACGGCGGUGUUUGGCACCUCGAUGUCGGCUCAUCACAUCCUGGGGCUGAAGUAGGUCCCAAGGGUAUGGCUGUUCGCCAUUUAAAGUGGUACGCGAGCUGGGUUUAGAACGUCGUGAGACAGUUCGGUCCCUAUCUGCCGUGGGCGCUGGAGAACUGAGGGGGGCUGCUCCUAGUACGAGAGGACCGGAGUGGACGCAUCACUGGUGUUCGGGUUGUCAUGCCAAUGGCACUGCCCGGUAGCUAAAUGCGGAAGAGAUAAGUGCUGAAAGCAUCUAAGCACGAAACUUGCCCCGAGAUGAGUUCUCCCUGACCCUUUAAGGGUCCUGAAGGAACGUUGAAGACGACGACGUUGAUAGGCCGGGUGUGUAAGCGCAGCGAUGCGUUGAGCUAACCGGUACUAAUGAACCGUGAGGCUUAACCU